AUGUCUACACCAAGUUCACCCAGCUUUGGUUCAGCUGUGUGGCACAGCUUCGACAGAAUAGAAGCGGCACUGGCAAAAUGUAAACACUGCGACCGGAAUAUCAGAUGUAAAGGAGGUAGCACCAGUGGCAUGAAAAGGCAUUUAGAGUCUCGGCAUCAGUCGUUGAAGUACAGCAAAAGAGAAGCUGCAAUAAAGGAAGAGAAGACACUGUCCAAGAAGAGCGCACAUGAGGAUGAGGAGCCACACCCUAAAAGAGGGGUGUCAAAGCAAGAACCCAAUACUUCAGAGGUAGCCUUGACAGAAGGUGGGGCUCCAGAGCAGUUUGAGUUUCAGUAUGGACUUGAGGGACCAGCAUUUGAGAAUGGGGAGUCCUCCAAGAGCCAUCUGUCCAUCAUCAAAGUAGAACAACUGGACUCCCUCCUCCCAGACCAAACAGACUCCAGCUGUGGUUCAGGGUCACCUGGGGAUUCGGGGCCUCCUGGCUCAUCUGGUUCUGGGUCCAAUACUAGUCUGGCUUCACAGUUUUUCAAGAAGUGCCACCAGGCAGGCUGCACACAAUUCAUCUUCUCGGAGUUCGCCUCCCGCCUCAGCAUCAUCACUGAGAGGAUUGCAUCCCAGCAGGCCAGCGAGGAAGAUUUCAACCUCACCCUGAAAGUGCUGGAGGCCUCUGGGAUGCUGCCAGAGAUCUUUACCAAAAGAGAUCAAGAAAUGGAGAAGAGACUGGGGGAGCUACAGAGAGAGACUGUAGCGGUGAGGACUGCCAGGUCUGCCAUGAGAGAUGCUUGCGUCAUGAGCUUCACCUCAUCAUGA
rnacentral:lncRNA from 1 species